ACACCCAGCUCCCCUGGCUCUAGCAGCACAGAAAUAUUGGCACUGGGAAGUGAGUCUGCCAAUAUUGGUUGUGCUGCUCCAGGCAGGGUGGUGA
rnacentral:pre_miRNA from 1 species